UACGAAGGGGGCUAGCGUUGCUCGGAAUGACUGGGCGUAAAGGGCGCGUAGGCGGCGGUCACAGUCAGAUGUGAAAUCCCAUGGCUCAACCAUGGAAGUGCACCCGAAACUGCGUAGCUAGAGUCUCGGAGAGGAAGGCGGAAUGCUUGGUGUAGAGGUGAAAUUCGUUGAUAUCUACAGGAACUCCGGUGGCGAAAGCGGCGUGCUGGACCUUUUCUGACGCUGAGGCGCGAAAGCUAGGGGAGCAAACGGG
rnacentral:rRNA from 1 species